AAAAAAGUAAGCUAAUUAAGCUAAUGGGUUCAUACCCCAUAUAUAAAAGUAAUAAUCUUUUCUUUUUUA
rnacentral:tRNA from 1 species